CGUCGGGGCUCAGAACGGAACUGUGCUGAUCGCCGUUGUGGUUCUAUCUCCAGGCCGCUCGGUGAUCCUGUACGCGGCGCUCGGGUUCGGAUCCAUCUCCUGCGUGGUUGCGGUCGCUCUGUCCGUGGCGUUCUGCUUGAGAUGCAAGAAGACGAACAAGACCACAGGUGAAGAAGAACCAGGUGAAGAUCUCUACCAGG